CCCUUAGAUGUUCUGGGCUGCACGCGCGCUACACUGAUGCGUUCAACGAGUCUGCCUUGGCCGAGAGGUCUGGGUAAUCUUGUGAAAGCGCAUCGUGAUGGGGAUAGAUUAUUGCAAUUGUUAGUCUUCAACGAGGAAUUCCUAGUAAGCGCGAGUCAUCAACUCGUGCUGAUUACGUCCCUGCCCUUUGUACACACCGCCCGUCGCUCCUACCGAUCGAAGAGUUAGGUGAAUUGUUUUGAUCGAUAAGAUUUGACUAUGGUCAACUCUCGUUGUGAAAUUCUGUGAAUCUGACUGUUUAGAGGAAGGAAAAGUCGUAACA
rnacentral:rRNA from 1 species